rnacentral:rRNA from 1 species
UACGAAGGGGGCUAGCGUUGCUCGGAAUCACUGAGCGUAAAGGGUGCGUAGGCGGGGCUUUAAGUCAGGGGUGAAAUCCUGGAGCUCAACUCCAGAACUGCCUUUGAUACUGAAGAUCUUGAGUUCGGGAGAGGUGAGUGGAACUGCGAGUGUAGAGGUGAAAUUCGUAGAUAUUCGCAAGAACACCAGUGGCGAAGGCGGCUCACUGGCCCGAUACUGACGCUGAGGCACGAAAGCGUGGGGAGCAAACAGG